AAAAAAAAGAGCAUAACCCCACACGUAAUUACAACCUAAAAUUCUAAUUGCUGACGGCCACAUGAUUCAUUCACCGUGUGAAGGAAGGAAGGAAGGAUGAUGUGCAAGGGCAACUAAUUUGACCAGCCGCAUUUGCCAAGGGACGAUGCCCUAGUACUAUAGAUCACUUUUGUCCUCACUUGCUCGCCUGAUCGCCCUUCAUUAUCCCAUCGAACAUGUGGAGCCAAUAUCCUAGAGACAAUGCAACUAUCCUAGAGACAAUCAGCACUAGCAGCACCCAUUUUCAUGAACUGCAGGCGUUAAAAUGGCCCUCCAUGAAUCAAACGGCUCCUGGUAACCCUAUGCGUGCCCUAUAAUAAUGCAAAUCCCAGGGAACGGUUCUGAUGAAUGAUGACAGAUGGACCCUAUAAAGCUAUGCUUUUCUACAUGCCUCACUGGAAUGGGUCGGUAGCAUCUUAAUAAAGUAGGAGUGAAAAUAGCAGGGAGACCACCCUCUUUAAAUCCAAAGAAAAGCUGCUUUUAAUCUGAAACUGAUCUUGCUAUCUAGCUAGCUCUUGUUUUGUCACUACGUUGGGGUUAUCAACUCAUCACUAAACCAUACACAAACUUCCCUGCUAGUAUUUCUUAGCCAUUAGACAAAAGACCAAACCCUCGUAUUUCUUCAGUUUCUGAGAGAGAAAGAGGCGUGUGGCAUCAGAAACGAGGAUUAAGAGGUGAGGGAACGCAGGAAAAGACUGGAGGGAAGGAGGGAUUGGAGGGUUUUCAUCAGUAACGAGGGAGGAUGAUGAUUCUUUCCCUGAUCCUUCUUAAUAUAUACGAUGUCUUACAGACCUGUAAUUCAUAGGAAUAUGGAAGGAACCGUCUAAUCUGAUCAUUAUUACUGCUCCCAAACAAUUAUUAAUUAUUUCUCUUGUCUUUUUAAGUCUUCAAUUCACCUCUUCUUCUCCCCCCUCACUGCCCUUUUCAAUUAAUUACACCCACAAGGACAUAACCUCCAGCCCCUCCCUCUUUCUCUCUCUUAUUUACUGUGCUAUACCAUCCGUUCUUCUUAAAUAGCACCCAUCUGUCCCAUAUCUACUCCCCAGGGAUUGUUAUCGCUCUCUAGCUGUCUGUUUUCCUUGUAUGUGUCCGUGCCUUCCAGUGAUGAAUACUAGGACAGCUAGCUAGCUAGCUUUCAUGUGGGUUUCGCAAAGGGUUUCUUACAGAGUUUAUUGGCAUUCUGUCCACCUCCUAUCUAUAGAAAUUAGAAUAUCUCUUUCAUAUGGAGGUGGGCAUACUGCCAACUGAGCUCUGUUGGUCUCUCUUUGUAAAACCCUCGUGAUUAUUCUGUCAUCAUCGUCAUCUUUUAGCUCUUUCUCUCUUGCAAGAAAGAAAGAUCAAAGCUUCUGGCCCUUAUUAGGCUUCUACUUGAUGGCUCCAACUUUACCAUCUACUUUUCCUAAUAAAACACAAAAAAAUCAAUGAAAGAGAAAAUCACUAAGACUUGCUUUGAUCACCUGUUGAUUGCCACGGUUCAAUCUUCUGCAGAAAAUUAGAGGUAAUGAGGCAUCACAUGCACAGAAUCCUCGUUUUCACUUUGUAGAUCUUAACCUAUGUCUUUUUCCUGGGUUUUUGGGUGUGAUUGCUCCUUUCAUACUUGCGUAUAUUUCAUAAUCUAACAGUGCAUAAUGCAUUGCUUUCUUCAUCUCAUCAUCUAGGCUUACCUAUCUCUUAUUUCCCCAUUGAAUCUAACUCAAGUGAUCGUACUUAAGAUUAGUUAAAUUAAAGACUCAGAGUUGAAGGCUGGACGAUGCAUGCCUCUUUGCAGUGAUCAUACAAACUAUUCAUUGGGGCUAGCUAACUCAACUUAAUUACAGGAUGCAUCGAAGGUCUUUGAAUCAAAACCCCACUGCAAUGAUCUCCUAUCUGCCUCCUUUACACACACACACACACACACAUAAAAUCAUGCUAAGUAUCUAGUUAGAUAUUUCAGUGUUCAUGGUUUCAUGCAUGUCUACCACACACCAUUGUUUUUCCCCUCAUUGUCAGAUAUUCAACUAAUAUCUAACUUGGUUGGGCAGGUCUUGCGUUAGGGCAUGCCAAACACUCCAUUUCUAGGAUAUGCUCCCAAGUCCACACGCUGAGUGUCUUUUCUGAUGAUGUAAAGGCAAAAUUUCUUAAAUAAUUUGUUGUGUUUGUGCUUUGUGCAGUUGGUCAUCAGACGCAUGGAAAUGUUUGGAAUAAUAAUAGAGGGUUACAUUA